CUUCAGUUAUCAAAGUUAUCUCCUGAAAUGGGCACUCUCACCACUCAAAGUAACCAUGCUGAAGUCUCUCAGCAGUAUGUUUGAUGGAACUCUGAGGGAGCUUUUCAAACUAAACAGGCUCGUACGAGUUAAAGAAGCUGCUUUCUGUUUUGGUAUACCUGUCCAUAUACUUCCUCAAGGGGUCCUCUUGACAUGAAUACGGUCUAAAAGUCCAAAGUUUGGCUUGAUGGUGGCACUAAAGAGAAGGCUGAAGUAGUAACCUAAAACAUAUCGAUUCAACAUCUGGGAAGCACGAACAUCUGCAACAAUUUCCAAGAAAACCUGCUGAGAGGUUGCUGAGAUAUUAACAUCACCUGCCUCUAAAGGGGCAA